rnacentral:rRNA from 1 species
GAUGAACGCUGGCGGCGUGCCUAAUACAUGCAAGUCGAGCGAAUGGAUUAAGAGCUUGCUCUUAUGAAGUUAGCGGCGGACGGGUGAGUAACACGUGGGUAACCUGCCCAUAAGACUGGGAUAACUCCGGGAAACCGGGGCUAAUACCGGAUAACAUUUUGAACCGCAUGGUUCGAAAUUGAAAGGCGGCUUCGGCUGUCACUUAUGGAUGGACCCGCGUCGCAUUAGCUAGUUGGUGAGGUAACGGCUCACCAAGGCAACGAUGCGUAGCCGACCUGGGAGGGUGAUCGGCCACACGGGGACUGAGACACGGCCCAGACUCCUACGGGAGGCAGCAGUAGGGGAUCUUCCGCAAUGGACGAAAGUCUGAUGGAGCAACGCCGCGUGAGUGAUGAAGGCUUUCGGGUCGUAAAACUCUGUUGUUAGGGAAGAACAAGUGCUAGUUGAAUAAGCUGGCACCUUGACGGUACCUAACCAGAAAGCCACGGCUAACUACGUGCCAGCCGCCGCGGUAA